UCUACCGAAAUUAAUAGAAUUUCUUUUUUCUGAUCAAUAUAUUUGUACUCAUUACCUGCAUGUUUGAAUUUGUACCGAUAUUCUAAGGAGAACGUACAUGCUGGUCUGUGUUAAGGCGUCACGAACGAACGACAGGCGUCAUGGAAAAGCUGAAAAAAACAGAUGUUGCAAGAUCGGGAGUUAAAAGGGUCCUGCACACUCGCUAGGCGCUAAACUGACUCACUCAGCUUCCCGUGAAGUUCCGCAAGAUGCACAAAACAAUGGUGUUUGGACUUCUCUUUUGCAUCACAUUUCUCAUGAUAACAGAAGGCAAUGGGGCGGCUCCGAGUUGCGGUCACGACGGCGAUACACGUCCGUUUUGUAAAGGAAAUAAGAAGAAUUUCAAGAGACGAGUCUGUGUCGCCGCUCGACGAUUGAACUGCGAACAAUUCCUGCAAGACGAGAACGUAAUCAUGCACCCAAGAGUUCAGCAAACCGCUCCCAAAUAACAACUUGAAAACACUCUGUAACGUUCUGGAAACAUUCUGUAGCCUCAAAUAAAGUGGGACGAUAAAAUUGACUUAUUACUAAUUAAUAAAUUAGAAAUUAAAGUUUCAGUUUAUUUUGAAAACUUCA